rnacentral:lncRNA from 1 species
UUUAAUCCCUCUUCCACAGGACUCAAUUCCACCCAUGAUGGACCCAGGCUACGUUGAGAGAUACAAGAGACUAGACUCAUCUAUUUUUGCAGGAGCAUCCUCAUUUGAAGAGGUCGAGUAUUAGUUAGCAGAGACAGAGAAGGUCUUCAUAACUCUUGGAGUGAUUCCUGAACAGAAGGUUAUACUUGCCACCUACAUGCUCGUGGGUGAUACAGGUCGUUGGUGGCAGCUAAAGCAAGCCACCGUGCCCAUUCCAGUCACUUGGGAAUAGUUCUUAGUAGCCUUCAAUGCAGAGUACCUCCC